AGUGAACGCUGGCGGUAGGCCUAACACAUGCAAGUCGAACGGCAGCACAGUAAGAUCUUGCUCUUACGGGUGGCGAGUGGCGGACGGGUGAGGAAUACAUCGGAAUCUACUUUUUCGGGGGGGAUAACGUAGGGAAACUUACGCUACUACCGCAUACGACCUACGGGUGAAAGCAGGGGAUCUUCGGACCUUGCGCGAUUGAAUUAGCCGAUGUCGGAUUAGCUAGUUGGCGGGGUAAAGGCCCACCAAGGCGACGAUCCGUAGCUGGUCUGAGAGGAUGAUCAGCCACACUGGAACUGAGACACGGUCCAGACUCCUACGGGAGGCAGCAGUGGGGAAUAUUGGGCAAUGGGCGCAAGCCUGAUCCAGCCAUACCGCGUGGGUGAAGAAGGCCUUCGGGUUGUAAAGCCCUUUUGUUGGGAAAGAAAAGCAGCAGGUUAAUCCGCCGCUGUUCUGACGGUACCCAAAGAAUAAGCACCGGCUAACUUCGUG
rnacentral:rRNA from 1 species